rnacentral:Y_RNA from 1 species
GGCUGAUCCAAAGGUAGUGAGUUAUCUCACUUAGAUUGUUCACAGUCAGUUACAGAUUGAACUCCUUGUUCUACUGCUUUCCCUCCUUCUCACUACUGAACUUGACUAGUCAAAA